rnacentral:rRNA from 1 species
CUUGCAAACUGGAGAUGGCGACCGGCGCACGGGUGAGUAACACGUAUCCAACCUGCCGAUAACUCGGGGAUAGCCUUUCGAAAGAAAGAUUAAUACCCGAUGGCAUAAUAGAACCGCAUGGUUUGAUUAUUAAAGAAUUUCGGUUAUCGAUGGGGAUGCGUUCCAUUAGGCAGUUGGUGGGGUAACGGCCCACCAAACCUUCGAUGGAUAGGGGUUCUGAGAGGUUAACCCCCCACACUGGUACCGAGACACGGACCAGACUCCUACGGGAGGCAGCAUG